GUCAGUUGGCUGCUUUGUGAAGAAGAAAGAGUCAGUGCUCUGAGGAGCUGCCCACGAGAAACACCAAGCAGGUUUUGCCGUUGGGCAUGAGGCGGUAUCCCACGGGACAGACACACUGGAAGCUGCCCAGGCUGUUCCUGCACUCGUGCUGACACGUGUCUCUGCUCUCACACUCAUCAAUGUCUGUGGAGAGAAGCACCAACACCUCAGCCUUCCCUGAGCCUGCCAUGAACACAGAUUACUGCUGCCAGUGGGAGUCUGACAGAAGCACUGUAACUAGGCUGGGGCUACUGGUGGCUUUUGAAGUGUGAAAAGAUUCACCAAGGUGAGCUACUGUGAUCAGGAGAAAGAGAAUAACAGAGGGAAAUACUUUGCACACAGGUAAUAAGCAGCACAAUUAAAACAAGAGGUUGUAAGAAGGUUUGAGAACAUUUUUGCUACAGUGUGAGCCAAGACAGCAGAGACCAGAACAUGCAGAACCCUCUGAAUAUUGACCAGGGUAAUAGAAAACACAACCCCAGCACCACAAACCCUCAG